AUUGAACGCUGGCGGCAGGCCUAACACAUGCAAGUCGAACGAGUGGCGGACGGGUGAGGAAUGUCUGGGAAACUGCAUGAUGGAGGGGGAUAACUACUGGAAACGGUAGCUAAUACCGCAUACCAUCGGAUGUGCCCAGAUGGGAUUAGAUAGUAGGUGGGGUAAAGGCUCACCUAGGCGACGAUCCCUAGCUGGUCUGAGAGGAUGACCAGCCACACUGGAAAGGAGACACGGUCCAGAGUCCUACGUGAGGCAGCAGUGGGGAAUAUUGCACAAUGGGCGCAAGCCUGAUGCAGCCAUGCCGCGUGUAUGAAGAAGGCCUUCGGGUUGUAAAGUACUUUCAGCGGGGAGGCGUUACCCGCAGAAGAAGCACAGGCUAACUCCGUGCCAGCCGCCGCGGUAAUUC
rnacentral:rRNA from 1 species